rnacentral:rRNA from 2 species
GGAGAUGAUUGAAAGAUGGUUUCGGCUAUCACUUACAGAUGGGCCCGCGGUGCAUUAGCUAGUUGGUGAGGUAACGGCUCACCAAGGCAACGAUGCAUAGCCGACCUGAGAGGGUGAUCGGCCACACUGGGACUGAGACACGGCCCAGACUCCUACGGGAGGCAGCAGUAGGGAAUCUUCCGCAAUGGACGAAAGUCUGACGGAGCAACGCCGCGUGAGUGAUGAAGGCUUUCGGGUCGUAAAACUCUGUUGUUAGGGAAGAACAAGUACAAGAGUAACUGCUCGUACCUUGACGGUACCUAACCAGAAAGCCACGGCUAACUACGUGCCAGCAGCCGCGGUAAUACGUAGGUGGCAAGCGUUAUCCGGAAUUAUUGGGCGUAAAGCGCGCGCAGGCGGUUUCUUAAGUCUGAUGUGAAAGCCCACGGCUCAAC